GUUACUCUUCUAGAAGAAACAAGAGAAACCAAAGAAACAGCAUAAAAUUUAUUAUGUAAUCAUGUCUUUAAACACCUUUAUUCAAGGAGAAAAAAUGGAAGGAUCCAAAAAGCAAUUAGGAGCAGCAGUGCUAGCAAAAAGAACAAGAAAAGAGCAAAUGGCAUUUGAGAAAUAGAAAAACUGGAACACCAUUGAAUGCGGACAGCUGAAGAAUGAUACGCUUUGCUGUUGAUUGCUUAAAGGCAUCAAAGAAGCCCAGCUGAAUGGAAGAAGCUUACAUCCAUGGACUUGAAGAAGAUCUGUUUUACAAAAGGUGAGUUUUGUUAUAGUAAAGGUGUGUCAAAUGGACACAAAAAUGUAACACCAAAGAGAUAACUGUAGAAAAAGAGCUUGUAGUUUGAAGAGGAAGGGUAGGGAGUACUUCUUUCUGAUGAGAGGCUCUUCUUACAAAAUUUAGUUAGUAUUUCAGCAUGGUACCCUAAUCAAAACUAGACAUGAGUUCCUGUUUAACUCGUGGGCAAUGAGUGGUUUGAACACCGAAACAAAUUCCAGCUGCAUGUAUGUGAAGCUGAUUUUAUUGAAAU